rnacentral:rRNA from 1 species
ACAUGCAGUCGAACGAGAUCCUUAGCAAAGCUUGCUUUGCUAAGUCUAGUGGCGAACGGGUGAGUAACACGUGAGCAACCUGCCCAGAAGCAGGGGAUAAGCCACCGAAAGGUGGUCUAAUACCGUAUGUGAUACCAAGAGGCAUCUCUUGGCUAUUAAAGGGGGGGACCUUCGGGCCUCUCACUUCUGGAUGGGCUCGCGGCCUAUCAGCUUGUUGGUGAGGUAACGGCUCACCAAGGCAACGACGGGUAGCUGGUCUGAGAGGACGACCAGUCACACUGGAACUGAGACACGGUCCAGACACCUACGGGUGGCAGCAGUCGAGAAUCAUUCACAAUGGGCGAAAGCCUGAUGGUGCGACGCCGCGUGGAGGAUGACAGCCCUAGGGUUGUAAACUCCUGUCAUGAGAGAGUAAAGACUUAACGUUAAUACCGUUGGGUCCUGAUAGUAUCUCAAGAGGAAGGGACGGCUAA